rnacentral:rRNA from 1 species
UACCAGCACCCCGAGUGGUCGGGACGAUUAUUGGGCCUAAAGCAUCCGUAGCCGGUUCUACAAGUCUUCCGUUAAAUCCACCUGCUCAACAGAUGGGCUGCGGAGGAUACUAUAGAGCUAGGAGGCGGGAGAGGCAAGCGGUACGUUAGUGGGUAGGGGUAAAAUCCGUUGAUCCGAUUGAAGACCACCAGCGGCAGAAGGCGGAGCCUUGGCCAUGA